rnacentral:tRNA from 1 species
UCCCGUUUAGCUCAGUGGUAGAGCGCAUCACUUGUAAUGAUGAGGUCAGUCGUUCAAUCCGGCUAACGGGAA